rnacentral:lncRNA from 1 species
CUGGAGGAAAUUGUGAUUCAUGGCUUAAAUGAAAGAGUGAUGAUCACCCUACCCUCAGAUGGUCAUGUGGCCCUCUCUUCCAGAUGAAAUCAACCUGAGCAUUUGAGAAUGGGCAUCCUGGCUGAGGCAGCCGUGGUGGAAAUCAGAGACUCCAGGAUUGCCAUCACAAGUUCUGAAUCCAGGUUAACUACUAGUGUCUUCCCACUCACAGAACCAGGCAACAAAGAAGUCUGUGGCGUCCACAGGAGGGAAACAAAGCAAAACGAAGCGCCGACCAGUGCGGUACUAUUAAUUCAAAUUAAUGACCCUCACCUACAAAUAAAGCUGGUGCCUGGCAGGUCGCUGGCUCUUGGAGAGCUGCAAUGAGAACAAACGUGGCUUUGCCGUCUGGCCAGGCAAUCGAUGCCUCCUGCCUGUCCCUGGCCGCCCCGCACCCACCUCUUACAGAUGUUACCUGUCUCCUGUUAAUUCUCCCGUGUCACUCUCCACUUCCCCGGUGGGGGUGGGGGGGGGGCGGUCAAGGGUUGACCUGGAGGGUGGGCUUAUUUCAUAAGAAAGGCCGAUUGAAAGGGCCCAGAUGCAAAGUCACACUGCUCUGCUGAGCUGGGAGGACACCCCACUGAGAGACGUGUCUGAAAUGGGUGGAGGUCUCUGGGCAUCACUGGCAGGGGUGGGUGCCUGACUGUCAUUUAGGGACAUUUCUGCCUUGAUCUGUUGCUCUUAUUUAUCUCUGCCAAAAUAAAGAUGUGUUUGAUGAUAAAGACUUCUUUUAUUCAGCCUCUCAGUUAUUCCAGCACGGUAGUUAGAGAUGAAUACAACGUUGCCCUUAAGCUACAACCUGAUCUUCACAAAAACCCUUUGAAGAAG